GAGAUGUUAGUAAACUAAUUACAUGACCUUGUCAAGGCCAAAUCACAGGUGAAAACCCUGUACACCUCA
rnacentral:tRNA from 1 species